rnacentral:rRNA from 1 species
UACGGAGGGUGCAAGGGGUAUCCGGAAUCACUGGGGUUAAAGGGUGCGUAGGCGGCUUGAUAAGUCAGGGGUGAAAGCCCGCAGCUUAACUGCGGAACUGCCUUUGAUACUGUCGAGCUUGAAAGAGGUUGAGGUCAGCGGAACGUGACAUGUAGCGGUGAAAUGCAUAGAUAUGUCACAGAACACCGAUUGCGAAGGCAGCUGGCUGGACCUACUUUGACGCUGAGGCACGAAAGCGUGGGGAGCGAACAGG